rnacentral:misc_RNA from 1 species
UUUCCGUAGGUGAACCUGCGGAAGGAUCAUUAUUGUAUAACCGAGGUGCGACUGCUGUCUCUGACCCGAACGGACGUGCACGCCCUAGUGCCUUACCCCACAUUCAUCUCACCCCUCUGUGCCCCACCGCGUGGCUCCCCCCUUGGCUUGUUUGGAGGGGGGCCUAAGUUUUCUCUCUCUCUUUGUUUUCAGUGCAGUAUGUUUUUUUUGUUUUUGCGCUCACGCACUCAUUAUUACUUUAAACAACGGAUCUCUUGGAGAUCGCAACGACGAAGAACG